rnacentral:misc_RNA from 1 species
GAAAUGCGAUAAGUAAUGUGAAUUGCAGAAUUCAGUGAAUCAUCGAAUCUUUGAACGCACAUUGCGCCCGCCAGUAUUCUGGCGGGCAUGCCUGUUCGAGCGUCAUUUCAACCAUCAGGCCCCCCGGCUUGUGUUGGGGACCUGCGGCUGCCCGCAGGCCCUGAAAAACAGUGGCGGGCUCGCUGUCACACCGAGCGUAGUAGCAUACAUUCUCGCUCAGGGCGUGCUGCGGGUUCCGGCCGUUAAACGACCUUCAUAACCCAAGGUUGACCUCGGAUCAGGUAGGAAGACCCGCUGAACUUAAGC